rnacentral:pre_miRNA from 1 species
UUUAUACUCCCCCCGUCCCAAAAUUCUUGUCUUAGAUUUGUCUUGAUACGGAUGUAUCUAAUACUAAAAUAUGACUUGAUACAUCCGUAUUUAGACAAAUAUAAGACAAGAAUUUUGGGACGGAGGGAGUAUUUG